UACGGAGGGUGCGAGCGUUGUUCGGAAUCACUGGGCGUAAAGCGCGUGUAGGCGGCCCAUUAAGUCUGAUGUGAAAGCCCGGGGCUCACCCCCGGAAGUGCAUUGGAAACUGAUGGACUCGAGUCCCGGAGAGGAGAGUGGAAUUCCUGGUGUAGCGGUGAAAUGCGUAGAUAUCAGGAGGAACACCGGUGGCGAAGGCGGCUACCUGGACCGAUAUUGACGCUGAGACGCGAAAGCGUGGGGAGCAAACAGG
rnacentral:rRNA from 1 species